rnacentral:lncRNA from 13 species
AAGCCAGUGUUUUCUUGAUGGUUUGACAGAGAGAUCAAGUAUUUAUCAUUUUCUUUGUGGUGUGAACAUUUAAAAUAAAUAUGAUACAUGACUGCCCACAGCCCAGCACACAGGAGGCACUCGGGGAAGAGACAAAAAGGAGGCAAAGGAAAGUUCGAGGCUCAGCCCCGGCUAGAACUCCAUGAAAACGACGAGGAGCCGGUUAAAGCUCAGCCAGUGUGAAUUCAGUUCUGAAACGACAAGACUGCCGAAUCUCACCCAGCUGUCAGGUCGCCCCAGACUGCGUCUCAAGCCUCCAGGGGACCGCGCGGGCCCAACAGCAGCCGGGCGGCUGCCCGAGCCCGGCCUGCAGCGGACAUCUGCGGGAGCGUGUCAGGAAAACACCGAAGGCAGCACAGAUAAAGGUGUGCAGUAUGAGGAAGCAUCCUGAUUUCUCUUGCACUGGCCAGUGUAACACGGUGGUGAGGCUGAGGGGAAGCAAAGGUCAUCUGUCUCUGGCACUGUCAUGGGCUGCAGUGGUCAUCACACUGACCCUCAUUUACUACUGCAGUUUUCCUCAGUGUUUCACUUCAAAGGAAUGGUGA